GGUGGCUCAGUGGUAGAGUGCUUGCCUUGCAUGCAUGAGGCCGUGGAUUGGAUUCCUCAGCACCA
rnacentral:tRNA from 1 species